GACGAACGCUGGCGGCGUGCUUAACACAUGCAAGUCGAGCGGAAAGGCCACUUCGGUGGUACUCGAGCGGCGAACGGGUGAGUAACACGUGAGUAAUCUGCCCUUGGCUUUGGGAUAGCCACCGGAAACGGUGAUUAAUACCGGAUACGACCACUUCUCGCAUGGGAUGGUGGUGGAAAGUUUUUCGGCCAGGGAUGUGCUCGCGGCCUAUCAGCUUGAUGGUGAGGUAAUGGCUCACCAUGGCUUCGACGGGUAGCCGGCCUGAGAGGGUGACCGGUCACACUGGGACUGAGACACGGCCCAGACUCCUGCGGGAGGCAGCAGUGGGGAAUAUUGGACAAUGGGCGGAAGCCUGAUCCAGCAACGCCGCGUGAGGGAUGACGGCCUUCGGGUUGUAAACCUCUUUCAGCAGGGACGAAGCGCAAGUGACGGUACCUGCAGAAGAAGCACCGGCCAACUACGUGCCAGCAGCCGCGGUAAUAC
rnacentral:rRNA from 1 species